rnacentral:misc_RNA from 1 species
AAUUUUCUAAUCACCCAUGAAUAUUUUAUUCAAGAAUUUUACUCGAUUCCAUAAGUUUCCAACAGCUAACAUAUUCCUAAUUCAACCCAAUUAAAUAUUCACAUAUUUAAACCUCCAUCCUCAAGCUUCAACCAAUUAUAUAAAAUUUAAUUAUCUUAAUUUCAAUUAAUCUUAUAUGCCCACAUGCUAAAAAUAUAACU